rnacentral:rRNA from 1 species
UGAAACAUCUAAGUACCCCGAGGAAAAGAAAUCAACCGAGAUUCCCCCAGUAGCGGCGAGCGAACGGGGAGCAGCCCAGAGUCUGAAUCAGCUUGUGUGAUAGUGGAACGGUCUGGAAAGUCCGACGGUACAGGGUGACAGUCCCGUACACCAAAAUGCACAGGUUGUGAACUCGAAGAGUAGGGCGGGACACGUGGUAUCCUGUCUGAAUAUGGGGGGACCAUCCGCCAAGGCUAAAUACUCCUGACUGACCGAUAGUGAACCAGUACCGUGAGGGAAAGGCGAAAAGAACCCCGGCGAGGGGAGUGAAAAAGAACCUGAAACCGGUAUAAUGGGUCAGCGACUUAUAUUCUGUAGCAAGGUUAACCGUAUAGGGGAGCCGCAGGGAAACCGAGUCUUAACUGGGCGUUAAGUUGCAGGGUAUAGACCCGAAACCCGGUGAUCUAGCCAUGGGCAGGUUGAAGGUUGGGUAACACUAACUGGAGGACCGAACCGACUAAUGUUGAAAAAUUAGCGGAUGACUUGUGGCUGGGGGUGAAAGGCCAAUCAAACCGGGAG